CGCGUAGGCGGGAAGAGAAGUCCGGUGGGAAAGCCCACGGCCCAACCGUGGAAGAACGCUGGAAACUCUCUUUCUUGAGGGCGGCAGAGGGAAGUGGAAUUGCUGGUGUAGCGGUGAAAUGCGUAGAUAUCAGCAGGAACACCCGUGGCGAAGGCGGCUUCCUGGGCCGCCCCUGACGCUGAGGCGCGAAAGCGUGGGGAGCGAACG
rnacentral:rRNA from 1 species